AUGAACGCUGGCGGGCGUGCCUUAGGCAUGCAAGUCGAACGGGAGCAGCAAUGCUCCAGUGGCAGACGGGUGAGUAACGCGUAGGAAUCUACCUCUGGGUAGGGCAUAGCUGGCCGAAAGGUCAGGUAAUUCCCUAUAGUUCCCGCAAGGGUAAAGGACUUAACGGUCCGCCGAGAGAGGAGCCUGCGUCCUAUCAGCUAGUUGGUGAGGUAAUGGCUUACCAAGGCGAUGACGGGUAGCUGGACUGAGAGGUCGAUCAGCCACAACUGCGCUGAGACACGGGCAGUACACCUACGGGUGGCAGCAACCAGGAAUAUUGCGCAAUGGACGAAAGUCUGACGCAGCGACGCCGCGUGGAGGAAGACGGCCUUAGGGUUGUAAACUCCUUUUGCCAAGCCGUUCACAGCUUGGAGAAUAAGCCUCUACUAACUACGUGCCAGAAGUCUCGGUAAUACGUAGGAGGCAAGCGUUAUCCGGAUUUACUGGGCGUAAAGUGUGCGUAGGGCGGACCGUAAAGUCUUCACUUAAAGACCAAGGGCUUACCCUUGGGAGUGGUGAGGAUACUCACGGACUAGAGGAUUGAUAGGGCAACUGGAACAGUACGUGUAGCAGUGAAAUGCGUUGAUAUGUACUGGAACACCAAGGGCGAAGGCAGGUUGCUGGGUUUUUUCCUGACGCUGAGGCACGAAAGCUAGGGUAGCGAAACAGAUUAGAUACCUGUUGUAGUCCUAGCCGUAAACGAUGUCCGCUAACUCUUCGUUUCGCGGAGCGAAACGAACAAAUAACAGAUAACUCAUAACUGAUAACAAAAUUGUUUCAAGUUAUAAGUUAUAAACUUGCGAAGCAAGUGAGUUAUUAGUUCGCGCGCUGCGCGAAGCGAGGGGUUCAAGCUAACGCAUUAAGCGGACCGCCUGGGGAGUACGACCGCAGGGUUAAAACUCAAAGGAAUUGACGGGGACCCCGCACAACUGGUGGAGCGUGUGGUUUAAUUCGAGACAAAGCGAAACACCUUACCUGGGCUUGACAUGCAGCGGACUCCGGGGUAAUGCCCGGUCUCCUUCGGGAAGCCGUUGCACAGGUGCUGCAUGGCUGUCGUCAGCUCGUGCCGUGAGGUGUUGGGUUAAGUCCCCUAACGAGCGCAACCCUCGGGGUCCGUUGGACAUCUUUUCUUCGGGCCCGACUUGCCGCGCGCAACGCGGAGGAAGGUGGGGGAUGACGUCAAGUCAGCACGGCCCUGACGUCCAGGGCGACACACACACUACAAAUGGCCGGGGACAAACGGGUCGCGCUUGCCCGCGAGGGUUGGCCAACCCCUAAACCCGGUCUCAGUUCGGAUUGCACUCUGCAACUCGAGUGCAUGAAGCUGGAAUCGCUAGUAAUCGCGGAUCAGCACGCCGCGGUGAAUACGUUUCCCGGGCCUUGUACACACCGCCCGUCACAUCACGAAAGUCGGUUGCACUAGAAGUCGGUGGGCUAACCCGCAAGGGGGGCAGCCGCCUAAAGUGUGAU
rnacentral:rRNA from 1 species